AUUGAACGCUGGCGGCAGGCCUAACACAUGCAAGUCGAACGAGUGGCGGACGGGUGAGUAAUGUAUGGGAAACUGCCUGAUGGAGGGGGAUAACUACUGGAAACGGUAGCUAAUACCGCAUAACAUUCGAUGUGCCCAGUGGGGAUUAGCUAGUUGGGGGGGUAACGGCCCACCAAGGCGACGAUCCCUAGCUGGUCUGAGAGGAUGACCAGCCACACUGGAACUGAGACACGGUCCAGACUCCUACGGGAGGCAGCAGUGGGGAAUAUUGCACAAUGGGCGCAAGCCUGAUGCAGCCAUGCCGCGUGUAUGAAGAAGGCCUUCGGGUUGUAAAGUACUGUCGGCGGGGAGGCGUUACCCGCAGAAGAAGCACCGGCUAACUCCGUGCCAGCAGCCGCGGUAAUAC
rnacentral:rRNA from 1 species